GGGAAAAGCGCUUCGCGGUAGAGCAGGCGGGUGGUUCCGUCGUGUCGAUGGUUCAAAUCCAUCCCUGCUCACCA
rnacentral:tRNA from 1 species